UUGUGUGUGUGUGUGUGUUUGUGUGUGUGUGUGUGUGUGAGAGAGAGAGAGAGAAGUAUUUUUAAAUGCAAGUAUGCAUUAUAUAUGCAUGUAUAUAUUGUGCACCAGUUGAUUACAUCGGAGUCAUUUAAAUCAGAGCAAUUUUCUUUAAAGAAGAAAACACAAAAAAAACGAAACAAAUUUAUCAAAUACAGAAAACAAAAAAACAAUGAGAAUUAUAACAAUAAAUAAGAGAAGAGAGAGAGAGAGAGAGAGAGAGAGAGAGAGAGAGAGAGGCGGGAGAGAAGGAGGAAAGAGAAAAGAAGAAAGAGAAAAGGAAGAGAUGGGAACGGAUUGAAGAAGUGGGAAACAAAAAAAAGCGCAGCAACAACAAACAAUAACAAUAACAGCAAAAGAGCGUAUUUAAAAUGGCCGAUAUGACGUUUUAAUAGCUGAGAUGGAUUCGGGAGGGUCCGCCUUGGGGGGAGUGGAGUGGCGUGCAAUGUCUGGUUUAUUUCUGUCACCUUUUAACAUUAAUGACAUCAGGUAUAUAUAGAGAUAACACUUCCAGCAUGUACAUGUGUGUGUGUGUUUGUGUGUUUGUGUGUGCGUGUGUGUGUAUGUUUGUGUGUGUGUGUGUGUUUGUGUGUGAGUGUAUGUGUGUGUGCACACAUACAGAUAAAGAUACACUCAUUGGCUUGCAGCGAAUUCAUACCUACACGUAUAUUAAGUAAUACAUGGACGAAUGGGAAAAAAGCAUUUAUACAUACACACACAUACACACAUACAUAUUUAUAUAUACAUAUAUAUAUAUAUAUAUAUAUAUAUAUAUAUAUAUAUAUAUAUAUGUGUGUGUGUGUGUGUGUGUGUGUGUGUGUGUGUGUGUAAAAAAAAACAUAUGCGCCCUUUUAAAGCCUAGCCAGGCUUAUGGGCCCGGUUUCCCGGUUUCUAUGGCGUAUGUGUUCCCCAGCUGGACGGGACGCCAGUCCAUCGCAGCGUUACUCAUUUUUGCCAGCUGAGUGGACUGGAGCAACGUGAAAUGAAGUGUUUUGCUCAAGAACGCAACGCGUCGCCCGGUCCAGGAAUCGAAACUACAAUCUUACGAUCAUGGUGCUGACACCCUAAGCCACGCGCCCCCACACAUAUAUAUGUAUGUAUAUGUAUACAUAUGUAUGUAUAUGUAUGCAUAUAUAUGUAUGUACGCAUGCACGUAUUAGCGUGCAACUAUGGUAAAUGUGUGUAUGUGCGUAUGUGUGUGUGUGUGUGUGUGUGUGUGUGUGUGUGUGUGUGUGUGUGUGUGUGUGCGUGUGUGUAUAAAGGAAAUUAAUUUGUAUCCAGUUGAUACAUGACCAAAAAGAUGACUCUUUUUAUUUUAAUUAGUGGCUUUAUAGGUAAAGGGAACAGAGGGAUGAGUAGACGUUUUGGAGAAUGGUCUUUCAUCAAAAUUAGUAAUGAGAAAUAAAACAAAAUGAAAGAAAAGAAAAAUAUUGUUUGUUCUCGGUCGUUUCACGCUUGGAUAAUAAACACAAAGAAGGGGGAAGUAAGGCUUUUCAGAAAAGAAUUGGGAACAAUAGGAAGGAAAAUAAGUGUGGCAGCAGUGGGAGAAAAUGAUUAAGGUUUAUGGUGUUUGUGAGAUAAUUUAGGGAUACGUGAUGGAGAGGGUGAGUGAGGGAGAAAAUUAGAAGAUCAGUGUGGGAGCGGGGUGUUGUGUGUAUAGUGCAUAGUGAAUAAGGGGAGGCUUGUUUACAAGGGGUUAAGUGCGGGAGGUGAAAAUAUAUGAAGAGUGAAGGGUAAAGCGUUGAUAUUAGAUGGGUGCGAAAGGGGCUUGAGUGUAUGUGAAGUAAUAAAAUGUGUGAGCGAGACUCUGUGUGUGUGUGUGUGUGUGUGUGUGUGUGUGUGUGUGUGUGUGUGUGUGUGUGUGUGUGUGUGUGUGCGUGGUGAAUAAAAUAGUGUUUUAGUGGGCGGUGUUUACAGGUGAUCAAGUGUGUUAGGGGGUAGAUACAUGAGGGAAUGGUGGGGUGAAGUGAAUAUUGCUUUCAAAUUUAGACGCAAGACCACAAAUUUAGAGGUAGAAAGGAAGUUGUAUACAUCGACCCCAGUGUUCAGCUGGUACUUAUUUUAUCGACCUCGGUGGAAUUUGAACUCGGAACGUCAGGACGGACGAAAUGCCGCUCAGCGUUUUUAGAGUGUAGUGUAUAUUAUGAGUUUAUGAAGCUGGUUUAUGUGUGCGCAUGCGUUUUAGGGACAAGAUAUUUAAACAAAAAUAGUAAGUGAGCAGGGUUGUGAAAAUGUAUAUGUAGGUUGAGUAAGAAGUGCAUAAGGCACGGGAGUACUCAAUAUGGGUGUAUAGAAGAUGGAGGGUAAUAUAUAUUAGUGUAUGGAUGUUGGGUAUUUGUGUACCUGUUAGGGUAUAUGUGUACAUGCGUUAUGAAAGGGAAUAGAUAAGGGCUGAAGUGAACUGUGUGUGUGUGUGUGUGUGUGUGUGUGUGUGUGUGUGUGUGUGUGUGUGUGUGUGGAAGUGUUUCAAAUGAAGGUUAGUUACUAGUGCCAGUAGGAAUAGAUGCGGUUAAAGGUAAAGGUUACCUUCUCGAGUCAUACCGAUCCAUAAGGGCCGGUUUCCCGGUUUCAAUGGCGUAUAUAUUCUCAAACUGAACGGGGCGCCGGUCCGUCGCAGGGUUAUUCACUGAGUGGACUGGAGCAACGUGAAAUGAAGUGUUUUGCUCCAGAACACAACGCAUCGCUCAGUCCAGGGUUCGAAACCACAAUCUUACGAUCAUGAGUCCAAUACCCUAUCCACUAAGCCACGCGCCUCCACAAGGAAUAGGCGUGCUUAAGAAAAAAAUCUGUCGUUGUUCACGACGAAGGCGGGAAACGGGAGUACCAUGGUUUUGUAUAACCUGUGAAAAAACAAACGAUGUGCUGGUGGAAAUGGCCCUUAGAACUUAAAUGGCACAACACAAACUUUGGUUGUUAUAUGAUGUUGUUGCGCCUAAGUUCAAGCAAAUGUUUUCGGAAGCAAUCAUGCAACCGGUGGUCAGUUAUUCCAUCCAACCGGCAACCGGUUUUCCGGUAUAAAGUAAGUUACAGAAAUUGCAUUUGGUGCAAUAGCUAACAAUUUAAAGCAACAAAUGAAGCGAUUGCUACUAUGGAAAGAGGAACCGGGGGCCUGUAUGGUGACGAUGUUGUAGAGCAUCCAAACGAGGUGAAUAAUCUGUGAAGCAGAAAGUCACCCCGAAUUACGAUAGCGUUUUAAAGAAGGCAAAAAAGGAUUUGGGGAAGACGUGAGAAGUCGUUUAAUAUAGAUAUGUGUCGUCUGCUUUUUCAUUGACUUCAAAUAAAUAAGUUUUACGUAAUCGUUCGGUAUCAUCGAAAUAUUGGUCAAUUUAAACAUUUUUUCCCCAUCAGUUCCAUUGAUAAAAUAUCUCAAUCAUAAUUCUUCGUUGUUGAUUAGGGUUAGAUGUUCGUUUAGAUAAAUCUUCCUUCUCACCACAAAAUCUUCUUAAUCUUCCUCUCGAUAGCAAAAUGUUCGAAACUUACUCUUCUCUUUCAAAUAAUCCGAAGCUAAUCGUCAAGAUAUUCCUUCAAACAUUAUAUAAGUGUAACUUAGGAACUUUUCAAUUGAUCCACACUAUUGUUAAAGAUAAAGAAAACAAAAGGCAUUGGAAAAUGACAAUAUUCUAUUCUGAACUGACAAUGAGAAUACAUCAGCAUGGAAGUCUACAAGUGGGGUACAGAGACGUCUCGAAGCGAAUCUUCAUACUCAACAACAUACAAUCAAAAAAGUUCAUGUCUGUCGCAAGGGGCAGAUAGCAACUCAGGAAUCUGCGUCGUGUUGACUGCGAUGCACAAAACUAACGAUAGCAAAUAAAAAAGGUUGACUGCUGUCAGGGGGGAAAAAACCCCAAAGGUACCAUGCAAAGUAUAUCAGUAAAUGUUUCAAACAUAUCUGGGAUUCCAUAGUCAUUUGAGGGGUCAUGUUAGAAGAAGGUGAAAUAUAAGAAAAUGAAUGGGAUUAAGAAAGUCCGUGAUGAUAUGAGUUUGUAUGUAUAUAUGUAUGUAUGUAUGUAUGUUUGUACGUAUGUACGUAUUUAUGUAUAUAUAUAUAUAUAUGUGUGUGUGUGUGUGUGUGUGUGUGUGUGUGUGUAUGUAUGUAUGUAUGUAUGUAUGUAUGUAUGUAUUUAUAACUCUGUGUGUAUAUAUAUAUCAGUUCAAUUUGGGUAUCGGUAAGCAUGUUUAUACACAUACUUGAAGAGUUGACAUUUUCAAGUAUUUCUGAAAUAAUGCUGAUUCGAUUUAUGAUUUCGUAUAUUAUAUAAUAAUAUUCCGGCAAUGAUUUUUCGGGGAAAGUGUCGACGAAACAAUUGUAAUAUUAUGCAAUGAACCUAUUACUCAUUCGAUUCUCUUCGUUAACAUUUAUGCACGCGUAUAUCUAUUUAUAUAUAUAUGUACAAACACAGACAUACAUAUACAUAUACACAUAAUUUGUACAGAGGAAACGUCUCAAACAAAAUGGUGUAGAAUGCAAAUAUACUCUCUCAAUACAAGAGUAAAAACACUAUCAUAGAACUAUUCAACACAAGUACUGCAGAUCAUGGUUAAUCUGUGGGUAAACGACAUCAAUGAAUUCGAUGUUCUGCACUUUCCUGUUUAAUACAUAACUAUCCCAGUAAAUAAGAUAAAUGAUCCUACAUUUGCAAAGGAUUUUAUAAGCUUGUACAAAGCCUGGUUCUAAGAACUAGAUCUUAGGUAAAGAAACUGUUACUUGACUCUUAUAUUCAGUCUACCAUUAUUUCUGGUAAGCCUAUAUUAUAAAAGGAUUUGGCAAUAAUAUGAACCCAAACUAGUGCACACGUAUUAAAGUGGAAAGUUACAGGGGUCACAUGACAUCAUGACUAAAUGAAAUGUACAUUUUAUAUAUAUCUGUACCAACCAUGAUAUUCUUUCAUCUUACAUACAUGUAUACGUUGUUAUUGUUUGUUCCUUCUCGAGCCACGGCUUGGCUCAUAAGCCGGUUUCCUGGUUUCCUUGGCGUAUAGGUUCCCCACCUGGACGGGACGCCGGUCCGUCGCAGGUGAGCUGCAAGAUGCAGGAGGAAAGAGUGAGAGAAAGUUGUGGCGAAAGAGUCAGCAGAAGUUUCGCCAUUACCUUCUGCCGGAGCCGCGUGGAGCUUCGGUGUUUCGCUCAUAAACACACACAUCGCCUGGUCUGAGAUUCGAACCCGCGAUCCCCCGACCGCGAGUCUACUGCUCUAACCACUAGGCCAUGUGCCUACACACAUGUAUACAUACAUAUGUAUAUGUACAUACAUACAUACAUACAUACAUACAUACAUACAUAAUACACGUGUAAACUUUUAUUCUUUGAUACGAGUGGUUGUACUGCAGCCAUGCCGGGGCAUGGCUGCAUGUUCAAAAGAUUACGUGUGUCUGUGCGAGCGUUAUAUGUCUAUAUGUAAAGGUGUGUGUAUGUAUGUCUGUGCGUAUCUAUCUAUCCAUUUAUCUAUCUAUCUAUCUAUCUAUCUAUCUAUCUAUCUAUCUAUCUAUCUAUCUAUCUAUCUAUCAAUCUAUCUAUCUAUCUAUCUAUCUAUCUGUCUAUCUGUCUAUCUACCUACCUACCUAUCUACUAAUCUAUCUAUCUAUUUACCUAUCUAUCUAUCUAGCUAGCUAGCUAGCUAGCUAUCUACACACACACACGUAUGAGAUAGAGUCAACAAGACGGAGUACGGUUGGACAGUUAUUUUUUAACCAUUACACGUUUCCAUACAACAUAGUUCUUCAGAUAUACAGGAAUUUGAUUAUUUAACGCUUUACCUGUACCUGUAUAAUGGGAUCCAAUUGUAUUUCUUCAAUUGCUGUCUCCGUUAGUUACAAAACCUUCGUCUUCGAUGCUAACACAUCCAUCUGCCUUGUUUGAAUUUAGUAGACACUGGCAGUUUCAUUCCGCUUGCUGUUAACAUAUAUAUAUAUAACUGUUACUUUAUGAAUAUGAGUAAGAAAAGGCGUACUCAAGACAGGAUAUAGAGUAUUUGGACUAUUUAAUCGAAGUUCCUUUGGUGCAAUUAACGUUUCACUACACAGAGACUUUGCCAUCUAUGUGAAGCGGAACUCAAGUGACAAGAAAUAAAAAGUUUGCAUUUGUGCGUGUGUGGGGGGCGUUAUACAUAUAUGCAUGUGUAUGUAGGUGUGUGUGUGUGUGUGUGUAAUGUUUAUUCCCUUUUGAAAGUAUUUUCAGUGUUGAUAUAAUUUAAACUUGUGUGAUUUCAUACACAUUAGUUAACACCAAUCUGUUUCAUGUCUAUGCACACAUACAAUACUGCUUUUGCUGAGUACUAAACCCCCAGAAACAGCUGUUAAGAAUUCCCCGUAAAAUCCACUUUUCAUUCUCUUAUUUCUAACCUUCCUGCAUGAACUACCCGGAUUUAUACUAACCUACCCAUUAAAAGCACCACAAAGAAGUACUUCGAUACCCCUCUCCUCUACCUGUAAUAUUUCAGUAUGAACAAGGCGGCGAGUUGGCAGAAACGUUCUGAGUUCAAAUUCAGCCGAGAUCGAGUUUGCCUUUUAUCCUUUAGGGGUCGAUAAAUUAAGUACCGGUUGCGUACUGAAGUCGAUCUAAUCGACUGGCUCCGUUCCCCAAAACUUUGAACUCAGAACGUAACGGCAGACGAAAUACUGCUAAGUAUUUCGCCUGGUGUGCUAACGAUUCUGCCAGCUCGUCGCCUUGGAAAAUGGAAUAAUCCUUGUGUAAGAGUAGCCAUGACAAAGUAUGUGUAUGUAUCUGUCUGUGUGUGUAUAUAUUUGUGUGUGUAUAUAUCAGUGUGCGAGUGUGUGCGUGGGUGUAUAUGUAUAUGUGUUUGCGCAUUUUUUGACUAUGUGUGCUUACCAUCUGUAUGUUUAAGAGUAUAUGGAUAAAACAAAUUCUAUGGGACACACAUUGUGUCUUAAGCGGUGUGUGUGUGUGUGUGUGUGUGUGUGUGUGUGUGUGUGUGUGUGUGUGUGUGUGUGUGUGUGUGCGUGCGUGCGUGCGUGUGUCUGUCUGCAAGUGUGUGUAUUUUCGUCUGUGUCUUUUUGACCGAAUAGUUUAAGCUCGUUCGCCAUUCACGAGAUCCUGGGUACCGAUCAGGUCAACGAGGUCAAGUCCCCCUUACUCUGAACUCUGUUCAACACAGAUCUCAUGGAAGAAAUUAGUUUAACGGAAACUGUGAGGAAGCCUGACGUCCCACUGACUCCGUUCACGGAUGUAAAUUAAAAGAAGAAAUGUCUGUGAGAUACGCAACCCAUUUAAUGUUAAUUUAGUGGAGCGAGCAGCUGAGUGCUGCCCGUCGAAACCGACAGAGAAUACAUUAUGCCAUUUUUAAUGCAUUAUAUAUAUAUUGGAAGGUUUGCAGAUGAUGUACAGGUAUUAUAUGUUAGAAGAAAUGAUAUAAUCAGAAGAUCGGAUGGUUUAUAUUUACAGAUAUUUAUUUAUAUAUUACAUUUUUUAUAUAUAUCAUAUCACUUAGAUCACUAAGUGAUAUGAUAUAUAUGUAAAAAAUGUAAUAUAUAAAUAAAUAUCUGUAAAUAUAAUCUUCUGAUUAUAUCAUUUCUUCUAGUGAUCUCUUGAGCACCACCAGCAAAAAUAUUUUUUUCCUCUGUCUUCCCUUCUCGGGAUCUUUCCUUCUCCUUGUUUCCGACGAAGAGCUCCGCUCGAAACGUUAAACCCUCCUUCCCUUCUUUCCUGAGCGUCAAAUAAUACUUUAAUUGUUCCACGUCCUCGCGUUGCUGUUUUUUUCUGUGUUUUUUUGUGUUUUUUUUCUGUGUUUUCUUGUUUGGAUUAAGUUUAUAUAUAUAUAUAUAUAUACAUAUUUUUGUUUGUGUGCAUGAAUAUAUAUAUAUAUAUGUGUGUGUGUGUGUGUGUGUGUGUGUGUGUGUGUGUGUAUGCUGUGUGUAUGCGCAGUGGCGCGCGUGUUUAUAUCCAUUAAACUGUCUUCUGUAAUAUUUCUAUGAACAUGUAGCAUAUUUCGUUAUAUUCAAACCUACAAAACUUUCUACUAUUGUAUAUUUAAUCAAAAUGGCGUCUAGACAAAUGUUUAAUUCUCGUUAUAUUGUAGUAAUGUAGUAAAUAUGGCUAUAAAACGGUGUGAUGUAAAUCUGGCUAUUUACGAGGGAGACAACCGGCAAAUAAUAAUAUAUAAUAUUUAUUUAAAUGUACACACGUACACACACACACACAUGCACACACACACACACACACACACACACGCACACACACACAUAUAUAUACACACAUAAACACUCACACUUACGUUAUGUAUGUGUGUAUGUGGUGUGUGCACGUGUGUAUGUAUUUAUGUGUCUGUAUCUUUGUUUGUCCCCACUCCCUCCCGUCAUCACUUGGCAACCAGCGGUUCGGCGAAAGACACCGAUAGAAUAAGUACUAGGCUUCCGAAAAAUGAGUCCUGGGGUUGAUUUCUUCGACUUUAAGGCGAUGCUCCAGCAUGGACGCAAUCAAGUGACUGACGCGAGUAAAAGAAUAAAAGAAUACAAGAACAAACAUACCAAUAAACACACACACACACACACACACACUCGUACACACACUUAUAAUUUUAUUUUAGCUGAGAAGACUUUAUACUUUGUUACUCGGAGUUUCACGUAAUCGCUCAUCAGACAGUCAUGAGGAGUAUCCGUUUAUAUGUUCACGACUAUAGUUUCUUAUCAGUUUCCAUGAAAUAAAAUACUAUUUGACUCUAGCCUUGGUAGUCAAGUACUUUCGUUUACAUAUAUUUUUAUCGUGUAAUUCGGUAGAAGGAACCAACGAAGAGGGUCACAAAUUCACCACCUUUUCUUUGGGACGGAGAUAUACGUGACAUUUCUUAUCUUCUUUAUCUCAUGUAGUAAACUUGUUGUGUGUGUGUGUGUGUGUGUGUGUGUGUGUGUGUGUGUGUGUGUGUGUGUGUGUGUGUGUGUGUGUGUGUGCAUUAUUUAAAACAGUUUGAUUUGGCCGCAUGGAACUUGAAGUUUCGUAAGCUUGUUACAGGAUCCUAUUUCGUUGGGCUCACUCGCAUAUACUUACAUACAAUCAUACAUAAAUACAUACACACACACACACACAUAUAUAUAUAUAUUACAUAGACACAUAUAUAUGUAAGUAUAUGUGUGUGUACACACACACACACACAUAUAUAUAUAUGUGUGUGUGUGUGUGUGUGUGUGUGUGUGUGUGUGUGUUAGAAGGUUUGGUGAAGAUGUACAGGUAUUAUAUAUUAGAAGAAAUGAGGUACUCAGAAAUCUGGAUGGUUUUAUAUUUACAGAUAUUUAUUAGUAUAUUACAUGUUUUUAUAAAUCAUAUAUCAUAUAUCAUAUUAGCUCUUUCGUCCAUUCUAGUGGAGUCUUCACAUACAUACAUACAUACAUACAUACAUACAUACAUACAUACAUACAUACAUAUAUAUAUAUAUAUAUAUAUAUAUAUAUAUAUAUAUAUAUACUUACAUACAAUAUAUACCCAGUGUGUAUAUAUAUAUAUAUAUAUAUAUAUAUGCUCAAAACUGAAAUGAUACGAAUGCUUUGACAUGUCUAAUUUUAAAACGCUGAGUGCUAGAAAUAACAACCAAAUCACCACCAAAUCACACACUAAUGUCUUAAAAAUUGAAGGAUACAUAGUGUUAGAUAAAGUAUUUUGUAGAAACAACGUGAUGGUCAUGGCUAGAUAGCCGUUAAUCAUAGUCUUUUUAUUCAGUGCUGACACCUGGGACUAAACUUCGAUAAUAUCAUAGCUUUAAGCUUAUAAGUGAAUGGAUGAGUAAUGUCGUAGGCACUCGAAAUGCUAGAAAUAACAGCUAAAUAUUUCUCGCAGAUUACGGCUCUGCAUCUUACGAAAUUUCAGUGAUAUGCGCACGAUAAUGUAAUCCUAGGUGCGCAAUGCCUGAAAAAGAAAAAAAAACAGCAAAAAAAGAAGUUAACACGCGCGUUGACAGCUGGUAUUCAUUUGGCCGUAGUUUUCUUUGAUAACGGCCGACCUGGAGCUUACAAUGACAGGA
rnacentral:lncRNA from 1 species